rfam:Schistocephalus solidus strain NST_G2 genome assembly, scaffold: SSLN_scaffold0021914
ACAUAUAUGCGGUGGAUCACUCGGUUCGUGUGUCGACGAAGAGUGUGAAUUAAUGUGAAUCACAGACUGCUUUGGACAUCGACCUCUUGAACGCACAUUGUAGCCGAAGGCUUGCCUUCGACCACGUGUGGCCGAGGGUCG